UUGGGGAGAUGCUGCAGCUUCUGGGCUCCUCCUCUCCCCGGCUUCUCUCUCUCAGCGGCCCCUUCACCUGGCCAGAGCAGUGGGAGAGAGGACACCCUCGGACCGGACCGGCCCUGCCUUGUGGCAGGGAGAAGCGAGCGGCUUCUGGCGGCGAACGUGGGGGAGCGGCACUCUUGUUCGGGAGCAGAGAGCCUCUGCAAGGUUUUCGUGCAGGUCUGGCUUGUUAUUUCUGAUGACAGAAGGAAGAUGGAGACAAAGCGACAACUAUGCAGAAAACCAUUGUGAGGGGGGCCAUUCCCAAGCCAGCUUUGCAAGCAUGGUGUGAGAACUGGAAGCGAGCGCAUGGGAAGCAGGCCAGACUGUUAUAGAAGCAUCAACGAAACCCACCUAACUGAAGAAUCCACAAGCAGCUUUGACAUCUGCUCUGUCAGAGUUCAGCCCAAGCUGGUGGUUUCCAAAGGACAAGAUUCAGCCACCAAAUGUCUCUGGACUCCGACUGCUGUGGAUCAUGCCAGAGUCCCAAGGAAUCCACACACUGGUCAGGAGGACUAGGCCUCUGGGAUCCAAAGAGGGCCUCUGCGUAGAUGCCGUAUGGCUAGAGCAAGUUGGUUGCUGAGGGCCACUUAGGACGGGCCGCCCUGAGUAUCUUGUGCCGAGUUAGGAUGAAUGGCAGCCCAGAAUGACCAUCCUCUCUGUGCCUAGUCCUGAUGGGACAAAGACCCACCACCCGAAGAAAGCAUUGCCAUGGAUGGCUCUUCAUUCCUAACACGUGUUGACAUGUAGCCUUUUGUGCAGAAAAAUGCUGCCUUUGAAUUGCAGCUCCCUUAAGCUGACUGGUGUUUUCCCUUGAAAAAAUAUUAUACUGUUGUGCUUUAAAUUUUGUACACCGCCUAGAGAUGUACAUAUCAGGAGGUAUAAAAAUAUGAUGAAUAAAUAAAAUAA